rfam:Larimichthys crocea isolate SSNF unplaced genomic scaffold scaffold371, whole genome shotgun sequence.
CCUUCGAUAGCUCAGUUGGUAGAGCGGAGGACUGUAGCGGUUACAACGGGCAUCCUUAGGUCGCUGGUUCAAAUCCGGCUCGAAGGA